ensembl:lncRNA
AGAGAGAGAGAGAGACUAGAGGCGGCCAUCUUACAGACACAGAGAGAGAGAGACUAGAGGCGGCCAUCUUACAGACACAGAGAGAGAGAGACUAGAGGCGGCCAUCUUACAGACACAGAGAGAGACUAGAGGCGGCCAUCUUACAGACACAGAGAGAGAGACUAGAGGCGGCCAUCUUACAGACACAGAGAGAGAGACUAGAGGCGGCCAUCUUACAGACACAGAGAGAGAGACUAGAGGCGGCCAUCCUACAGACACAGAGAGAGACUAGAGGCGGUUGCCAUGUUACAGACAGAGAGAGAGACUAGAGGCGGUUGCCAUGGUACAGACAGAGAGAGAGACUAGAGGCGGUUGCCAUGGUACAGACACACAGAGAGAGAGAGACUAGAGGCGGUUGCCAUGGUACAGACACACAGAGAGAGAGAG